AGAGUUUGAUCCUGGCUCAGGAUGAACGCUGGCGGCGUGCUUAACACAUGCAAGUCGAACGAAGCAUCUUCACGGAAUUCCUUCGGGAAGGAAGCGAUUAUGACUGAAUGGCGGACGGGUGAGUAACGCGUGGAUAACCUGCCUCACACAGGGGGAUAACAGUUAGAAAUGACUGCUAAUACCGCAUAAGCGCACAGCAUCGCAUGGUGCAGUGUGAAAAGCUCCGGCGGUGUGAGAUGGAUCCGCGUCUGAUUAGGCAGUUGGCGGGGUAGAGGCCCACCAAACCGACGAUCAGUAGCCGGCCUGAGAGGGCGACCGGCCACAUUGGGACUGAGACACGGCCCAGACUCCUACGGGAGGCAGCAGUGGGGAAUAUUGCACAAUGGGGGAAACCCUGAUGCAGCGACGCCGCGUGAGCGAAGAAGUAUCUCGGUAUGUAAAGCUCUAUCAGCAGGGAAGAAGAAUGACGGUACCUGACUAAGAAGCCCCGGCUAACUACGUGCCAGCAGCCGCGGUAAUACGUAGGGGGCAAGCGUUAUCCGGAAUUACUGGGUGUAAAGGGAGCGUAGGCGGCAUGGUAAGCCAGAUGUGAAAGCCUUGGGCUUAACCCGAGGAUUGCAUUUGGAACUAUCAAGCUAGAGUACAGGAGAGGAAAGCGGAAUUCCUAGUGUAGCGGUGAAAUGCGUAGAUAUUAGGAAGAACACCAGUGGCGAAGGCGGCUUUCUGGACUGAAACUGACGCUGAGGCUCGAAAGCGUGGGGAGCAAACAGGAUUAGAUACCCUGGUAGUCCACGCCGUAAACGAUGAGUGCUAGGUGUCGGGGAGGAAUCCUCGGUGCCGCAGCUAACGCAAUAAGCACUCCACCUGGGGAGUACGACCGCAAGGUUGAAACUCAAAGGAAUUGACGGGGGCCCGCACAAGCGGUGGAGCAUGUGGUUUAAUUCGAAGCAACGCGAAGAACCUUACCAAGGCUUGACAUCCCGAUGGCCGUCCUAGAGAUAGGACUUCUCUUCGGAGCAUCGGUGACAGGUGGUGCAUGGUUGUCGUCAGCUCGUGUCGUGAGAUGUUGGGUUAAGUCCCGCAACGAGCGCAACCCUUAUCUUCAGUAGCCAUCAUUCAGUUGGGCACUCUGGAGAGACUGCCGUGGAUAACACGGAGGAAGGUGGGGAUGACGUCAAACCAUCAUGCCCCUUAUGUCUUGGGCUACACACGUGCUACAAUGGCUGGUAACAAAGUGACGCGAGACGGCGACGUUAAGCAAAUCACAAAAACCCAGUCCCAGUUCGGAUUGUAGUCUGCAACUCGACUACAUGAAGCUGGAAUCGCUAGUAAUCGCGAAUCAGCAUGUCGCGGUGAAUACGUUCCCGGGCCUUGCACACACCGCCCGUCA
rnacentral:rRNA from 1 species